UACAGAGGUCCCAAGCGUUGUUCGGAUUCACUGGGCGUAAAGGGUGCGUAGGUGGUGAGGUAAGUCGGAUGUGAAAUCUCCGGGCUCAACCCGGAAAUGGCAUUGGAAACUACCUUGCUGGAGGAUUUGAGGGGGGAUUGGAAUACUUGGUGUAGCAGUGAAAUGCGUAGAUAUCAAGUGGAACGCCAGUGGCGAAGGCGAAUCCCUGGAAAAUACCUGACACUGAGGCACGAAAGCUAGGGGAGCAAACAGG
rnacentral:rRNA from 1 species